CAAUAUAUGCAAAUCAAUAAAUGUAAUCUGGCAUAUAAACAGAACCAAAGACAAAAACCACAUGAUUAUCUCAAUAGAUGCAGAAAAGGCCUUUAGCCCCAAAUUGCUAGAGUGAAAGAAAUCAAAUACUAUAGAAAUUGAGUUCUUACUAAUCUACUAAUCUAAUCCACUGAUCAAUUCUAAUCUAAUUAUAAAAUGCUUUCAAUUUUCAAUUACCAUUGAAAGGUACAAUUUCUAAUCCACAAUAG
rnacentral:lncRNA from 1 species